rnacentral:rRNA from 1 species
UAUGCUACGGGGGGCAGCAGUGGGGAAUAUUGGACAAUGGGCGAAAGCCUGAUCCAGCAAUGCCGCGUGAGUGAUGAAGGCCUUAGGGUUGUAAAGCUCUUUUACCCGGGAUGAUAAUGACAGUACCGGGAGAAUAAGCCCCGGCUAACUCCGUGCCAGCAGCCGCGGUAAUACGGAGGGGGCUAGCGUUGUUCGGAAUUACUGGGCGUAAAGCGCACGUAGGCGGCUUUGUAAGUUAGAGGUGAAAGCCUGGAGCUUAACUCCAGAACUGCCUUUAAGACUGCAUCGCUUGAAUCCAGGAGAGG